rnacentral:rRNA from 1 species
AGUGAACGCUGGCGGUAGGCCUAACACAUGCAAGUCGAACGGCAGCACAGUAAGAGCUUGCUCUUACGGGUGGCGAGUGGCGGACGGGUGAGGAGUACAUCGGAAUCUACUUUUUCGUGGGGGAUAACGUAGGGAAACUUACGCUAAUACCGCAUAUGUCCUACGGGUGAAAGCAGGGGUUCUUCGGGCCUUGCGUGAUUGAAUGAGCUGUUGUCGGAUUAGCUAGUUGGCGGGGUAAAGGCCCACCAAGGCGACGAUGCGUAGCGGGUCUGAGAGGAUGAUCAGCCACACUGGAACUGAGACACGGUCCAGACUCCUACGGGAGGCAGCAGUGGGGAAUAUUGGACAAUGGGCGCAAGCCUGAUCCAGCCAUACCGCGUGAGGGAAGAGGGCCUUCGGGUUGUAAAGCCCUUUUGUUGGGAAAGAAAAGCAGCAGAUUAAUACCCCGCUGUUCUGACGGUACCCAAAUAAUAAGCACCGGCUAACUACGUG